UUCACUGUAUGUUGCUUAACCAGUUCACCUGAACGAGCACAUGCCUUCAAACAUUGCUUUUACCUUAUUAAUCUACAGUAUCAAGGAAGGUACUAUCUGCAAAAUAAGAGGAGAUAAAACAUACGACCACAGAAAAUGUAUAUGGACAAAGCACAGCUACUCAGAAAGGGGGAGAGAAGAAGGUAGACCAGCUAGGAACCUCUGGACCUGAGGGAAAACACAGUGUGCAAGCUGCCAUGCUGUGAGAUGAUUUAUGGAGAAGCCCACAUAAGAAACAACCAAAAGAACCUCUGGCCAACAGCUCAGAAAAAACUGAGGCCUUAGUCUAACAGCUCGAGAAGAACUAAAUUCUGCCAACAACCAAGUGAGUUUGGGAGCCAUUCCUCACCAGCCAAACGUCCAGAUGACACUGCAGCCUUAUCUGACAUCUUGACUACAGCCUGUGAGAGAGUCUGGAGCAGAGGAUCCAGCUAAGCCUGCCCAGAUUUCUGACCCUGUGGACUGUAAGAUCACAAAUGCAUGCUGCUUUAAGCUCCUAACUGGGCAAUUUGUUAAGCAGCA